rnacentral:lncRNA from 1 species
CUUCAGAGUGUCAGCCAGGUCAAGAGCAGCAGCAACUGACACUGUGGAACCUCUGCCAGACACCACUCCAGUGCGGUCCUCUUCACCAUCUGCUAAGCGGGCACUGGCCUCACACCCAGUUUGGCCCCGGGAGGUUAGACCCCUCCCCCAAGCUGACAGGUCUCACAAGGUGGAACCAAGAGGAAAUUCAGGCUUCCAGCUUCAGAGCUCGCCUUUAAUGACACACUGCUCUCUCUACGGCCAGGUUGAACCCCGUAGUUAGCUUUUACCUUCCUUCUCCAUGUGGAAUUGCAGCAGCCUAAAAUUUUCCAAGAUCACCCAAAGAAACCUCAGAGUCAACCUUUUAUUCUUACUUCUUUCAAAAAAAUAAAAAAGAAAGAAAGAAAAAGAAAAAUUGAUAGAAAAGGGUGGUCUUACACACAGAGCCCAGCAAUAAAUCACGUUUUCUUCUUUAACAGGGAAGGGCACAUAGAAAUGAAGUUAGUUUUUGGAGUUCCCGAGGAUUACAGGGCAUAGAACCCUGAUCACAGAUAUUGCGCUGCAUAAGAAGGCCGACUGAGAUGGGGACCUUAGAGCUGAUUUUAGGAGGAGCUCAUGCAGGAAUCUGAGGUCUUAUUUAAGAAACAAGCAGAGGAUAGAGUUCAAACCUGGCACAGUGCUGGAGUAGGAGGGGUGGGGGAUGUCACAAGGGUGGAAGUCAGGAAGGGGGAUUCUCAAGAUGAGGGCAAGCUCUGCCCUAAUCCCUGGCUGACCUCAUCCAUGUUAUGGUUUGGAUGUGAGGUGUCCUCCAAAAGCUCACGUGUGAGACGAUGCGAUGUGAAAGGGUUGAGGGGAAAUGACUGGGUUGUGACAGCCUUCACCCAAUCAGCCAAUUGAUCACCUGAUGGGAUUAUUCAAGUGGUAAUUGAAGACAGGUGGGGUGUGGCUGGAGGGGCAUGGGGGUGUGGCUUUAGGAUAUAUAUUUUGUAUCUGGCAAGUGGAGAUCUCUCUCUCUCUGCUUCCUGAUCAUCACGUGAGACUCUUCCCUCCACCACACUCUUCUGCCAUGAUGUCCUGCCUCACCUCGCGCCUCGAGGAAUGGAGCCUGCUGUCUACGGAUUGAGACCUCUGAAACCAUGAGCCCUCAAAUCAAGUUUUCCUCCUCUGCUAAUUAAAACAACCCACACAAGGUGCACGUUCACAUGGAAACCAUUAAGGAAACAGGAAGGAGGUAGCAGCCAGAGGUGAGGGAAGUGAGAAGACACCUGUAGUCACCAGAGGGGAGACGGUGGGUUCAACUGUCUCUUAGAGCCACAUUCUUCACUAAGUCUCUAAAACAAACAUCCACAAUGCCCAUGAUCAAACAAGACAUCGGUCAGUGUGUGAAUACAUAGAAAAGGUGACCCUGUAAUAAACAAAAGCAAUCAUUGGCAACCAAUUCUAAGAAGACUGAAAUGUUGGAGUUAAAAGAAGAACUGUGAAACACCUAUGAUAAUUGCACUCAAAGACUUAAAGGAAAAUAUGGUCAUAAUGAGAGAGUUGAUUAUGAAUCUUGAUAGGAAAAAAGGAAACCAAACAUGUAGGAAAAAUAGAGAACGAAAUGACAAGUAUUAUUAUGUAUAAGCAAACAAUUAUAGGACUUAAAAAUCUGAGAAGAAAAAUUACAGCAGAUUGGAAACAGCAAAAUAAUAAACAGAUGAGGUAAAUAGAAAAGAACAAAAUCAUAAAAAUAAAACUAAUCACACAAUUAAUUUCAUAAACAUGGGUGGAUUAAAUGCUUAAAAGGUAGAAAUGAUUUGAUUGCAUAAAAACAUAAAGUUUAACUAUAUGCUGUUUACAUUAGUCAGGGUUCUCCAGAAGAACAGAGCUAAGAGGUGGGGUGUGUGUGUGUGUGUGUGUGUGUGUGUGUGUGUGAGAGAGAGAGAGAGAGAGAGAGAGAGAGAGAGAGACUGAAAAUUAUUCAUGCUACUGUAGAGUCUGGCAAGUCCAAUGCCUGCUCAGCAGGCUGGACAGAUGGAGAAGAGCUGAUGUAGCUCUAGUUCAAGGGGAGAAAACAGACAUAAUUCCUUUUGCCUUGGGACUUCUCAGUCAUUUUUCUCUGAAGACCCUCAACUGAUUGGAGGAGGCCACCACACAAUGGAGGAUAAUCUAUCUGCUUUAUUCAAUGGUCACUGAUUCUUUGUUAAUCUCAUCUAAAAAUACCUUGAUAAUAACAUCCAGACUGAUGCUAUACCCAAUAGCUAGGUACCACAACCUUGCCAAGUUGAUGCAUAAAUUUCUGAACCUCCUUAUCUCCUUAUGGUCUUGGCUGA